GUUUCGUUAAACAGUAACGCAAAUUCAUUGUUUAAAUGGGAUUCGCCCAUGCAACGUGUAGGAGCCGCAAGUGACAAAGCCACUGAAGCGGUCCCGACCGCCUCCAACUUCCUGAUUAGACAGCCGAGUAGGAUACGUUUAGGACCCACACAGAUUCGGAUCAUCCGACUCGCAACGGAGGGUGAAUUUCCUAUCAACGUCGGGGAUCAAAGAACAUCCCAGUUUUCGAGGUUUCUAUUUGAGACACGUUUCACACCGGACGCAGGGAAAACAUCGAUAACUAUACCGAUUGCUGUGGUUUCUGCUGCGUGGAUUCCAGAACACGAUAAGUAGAAAUGGUUGGCAACCUACGG